rnacentral:rRNA from 1 species
ACGGAAGGCAGCAGUGAGGAAUAUUGGUCAAUGGGCGGAAGCCUGAACCAGCCAAGUCGCGUGAAGGAUGAAGGUUCUAUGUAUUGUAAACUUCUUUUGUCUGAGGGUAAAGUGAGUCACGUGUGGCUUAUUGCAAGUAUCAGACGAAUAAGCAUCGGCUAACUCCGUGCCAGCAGCCGCGGUAAUACGGAGGAUGCGAGCGUUAUCCGGAUUUAUUGGGUUUAAAGGGUGCGCAGGCGGGCUAUUAAGUCAGCGGUCAAAUCGUGUUGCUCAACAAUACUUAGCCGUUGAAACUGGUAGUCUUGAGUGUGAAUGAGGUAGGCGGAAUGGGACGUGUAGCGGUGAAAUGCUUAGAUAUGUCACAGAACCCCGAUUGCGAAGGCAGCUUACCAAGAUACAACUGACGCUGAUGCACGAGAGCGUGGGUAUCAAACAGGAUUAGAUACCCUGGUA